rnacentral:rRNA from 1 species
UACAGAGGUGGCAAGCGUUGUUCGGAAUUACUGGGCGUAAAGGGCGCGUAGGCGGCCUACUAAGUCAGACGUGAAAUCCCCCGGCUUAACCUGGGAACUGCGUCUGAUACUGGCAGGCUUGAAUCCGGGAGAGGGAUGCGGAAUUCCAGGUGUAGCGGUGAAAUGCGUAGAUAUCGAGAGGAACACCAGUGGCGAAGGCGAGUCCCUGGACAACUCCUGACGCUGAGGCACGAAAGCGUGGGGAGCAAACAGG